GAGCGUUUGGAGGCCUAUGGUAGAAAAGGAAAUAUCUUCAUAGAAAAACUAAACAGAAUCAUUCUCAGAAACUACUUUGUGAUUUGUGUGUUGAACUCACAGAGUUUAACAUUUCUUUUGAUAGAGCAGUUCUGAAACACAGUUUUUGUAGUAUUUGCAAGUGCAUAUUUAGAGUGCUUUGAGGCCAAUGGUAGAACAGGAAAUACAUUCACAUGAAAACUAGACAGAAGCAUUCUCAGAAACUACUUUGUGAUGUUUGUAUUCAACUUACAAAGUUGAACGUUCCUCUUGACAGAGCAGUUUUGAAACACUCGUUUUGUAGAUUCUGCAAGUGGAUAUUUGGACCCCUUUAAGGCCUUCAUUGGAAACGGGAUUUCUUCAUAUAAAACUUGACAGAAGAAUUCUCAGAAACUUCUUUGUGAUGUGUGCAUUCAACUCACAGAGUUUAACAUUUAUUUUGAUGGAGUAGAUUUGGAACACUCUUUUUGUAGAAUUUGCAAGGGUAUAUUUAGAGUGCUUUGAGGCCUAUGGAAGAAAAGGAUAUAUCUUCACAUAAAAACCAGACAGAAGCAUUCUCAGAAACUAUUUUGUGAUGUUUGCAUUCAACUCACAGAGUUUAAUAUUUCUUUUGGUAGAGCAGUUUUGAAUCACAGUUUUUGUAGUAUUUGCAAGUGCAUAUUUAGAGUGCUUUGAGGCCUAUGGUAGAAGAGGAAAUAUCUUCACAUAAAAACUAGACAGAAGAAUUGUCAGAAACUACUUUGUGAUGUUUGCAUUCCACUAACAGAUUUAAACAUUCCUCUUGAUAGAGCAGUUUUGAAACACUUUAUUUGUAGAAUCUGCAUGUGAAUAUUUGAAACUUUUUGAGGCAUUCGUUGGAAACGGGAUUUCUUCAUAGAAAAGAAGACAGAAGAAUUCUAAGAAACAUUUUGUGAUGUGUGCAUUCAACUCACAGUGUUGAAACUUCCUUUCAAUGGAGCAUUUUUGAAACACUCUUUUUGUAGAAUUUCCAAAUGAAUAUUUAGAGUGCUUGGAGGCCUAUGGUAGAAAAGUAAAUAUCUUCAUAGAAAAACUGGAGAGAAUCAUUCUCAUUAUCUACUUUGUGGUGUGUGCUUUCAACUCUCAGAGUUUAACAUUUCUUUUGAUAGAGCAGUUUUGAGACGCUCUUUUUGUAGAAUUUGCAAGUGUGUAUUUAGAGGGCUUUUAGGCCUAGGGUAGAAAAGGAAAUAUCUUCAUAUAAACACAAGACAGAAGCAUUCUCAGAAACUAUUUUGUGAUGUGUGCCCUCUACUAACAGAGUUGAACAUUCCUCUUGAUAGAGCAGUUUUGAAACACUCUUUUUGUAGAAUCUGCAAGUUGAUAUUUUGGCCUCUUUGAGGCGUUCAUUGGAAACGGGAUUUCUUCAUAUA
rnacentral:lncRNA from 10 species